GUCCCAGUAGCGCAGUGGAUAGUGCGUUGGACUUCUAAUCGAAAAGUCGUGGUUCAAUCCCACCUGGGAUG